UUGAAGAGUUUGAUCAUGGCUCAGAUUGAACGCUGGCGGCAGGCCUAACACAUGCAAGUCGAGCGGUAGCACAGAGAGCUUGCUCUCGGGUGACGAGCGGCGGACGGGUGAGUAAUGUCUGGGAAACUGCCUGAUGGAGGGGGAUAACUACUGGAAACGGUAGCUAAUACCGCAUAAUGUCGCAAGACCAAAGUGGGGGACCUUCGGGCCUCAUGCCAUCAGAUGUGCCCAGAUGGGAUUAGCUAGUAGGUGGGGUAACGGCUCACCUAGGCGACGAUCCCUAGCUGGUCUGAGAGGAUGACCAGCCACACUGGAACUGAGACACGGUCCAGACUCCUACGGGAGGCAGCAGUGGGGAAUAUUGCACAAUGGGCGCAAGCCUGAUGCAGCCAUGCCGCGUGUGUGAAGAAGGCCUUCGGGUUGUAAAGCACUUUCAGCGGGGAGGAAGGCGGUGAGGUUAAUAACCUCAUCGAUUGACGUUACCCGCAGAAGAAGCACCGGCUAACUCCGUGCCAGCAGCCGCGGUAAUACGGAGGGUGCAAGCGUUAAUCGGAAUUACUGGGCGUAAAGCGCACGCAGGCGGUCUGUCAAGUCGGAUGUGAAAUCCCCGGGCUCAACCUGGGAACUGCAUUCGAAACUGGCAGGCUAGAGUCUUGUAGAGGGGGGUAGAAUUCCAGGUGUAGCGGUGAAAUGCGUAGAGAUCUGGAGGAAUACCGGUGGCGAAGGCGGCCCCCUGGACAAAGACUGACGCUCAGGUGCGAAAGCGUGGGGAGCAAACAGGAUUAGAUACCCUGGUAGUCCACGCCGUAAACGAUGUCGAUUUGGAGGUUGUGCCCUUGAGGCGUGGCUUCCGGAGCUAACGCGUUAAAUCGACCGCCUGGGGAGUACGGCCGCAAGGUUAAAACUCAAAUGAAUUGACGGGGGCCCGCACAAGCGGUGGAGCAUGUGGUUUAAUUCGAUGCAACGCGAAGAACCUUACCUGGUCUUGACAUCCACAGAACUUUCCAGAGAUGGAUUGGUGCCUUCGGGAACUGUGAGACAGGUGCUGCAUGGCUGUCGUCAGCUCGUGUUGUGAAAUGUUGGGUUAAGUCCCGCAACGAGCGCAACCCUUAUCCUUUGUUGCCAGCGGUCCGGCCGGGAACUCAAAGGAGACUGCCAGUGAUAAACUGGAGGAAGGUGGGGAUGACGUCAAGUCAUCAUGGCCCUUACGACCAGGGCUACACACGUGCUACAAUGGCAUAUACAAAGAGAAGCGACCUCGCGAGAGCAAGCGGACCUCAUAAAGUAUGUCGUAGUCCGGAUUGGGAGUCUGCAACUCGACUCCAUGAAGUCGGAAUCGCUAGUAAUCGUAGAUCAGAAUGCUACGGUGAAUACGUUCCCGGGCCUUGUACACACCGCCCGUCACACCAUGGGAGUGGGUUGCAAAAGAAGUAGGUAGCUUAACCUUCGGGAGGGCGCUUACCACUUUGUGAUUCAUGACUGGGGUGAAGUCGUAACAAGGUAACCGUAGGGGAACCUGCGGUUGGAUCACCUCCUU
rnacentral:rRNA from 1 species